CUAGCAUCUUUCAACUCUGACUUUUCAGGCUCUGUGGCUACAUGGGUGUGAACUGGAACGAGGCAGAAGGGAUCUAUUUUUCUAUUUAGUGCCAAUGAGCCCCCAUGGAUCUACGCAGUGUGCUUUGUGCAGAUGAAGCUGUAUGUACAACAGAGUGAGCUUUGUGACGCCCUCUGCACAGGAGCAGUAUCCGUGAGACAAAAGAGUGGGACUCUGUCACCAUGAUCACAGAUGAAGGAUGCCGGGACACUCUGUCAAAGGAGACUCAGAACUCCAUAUAGGACGCUUGACUAAGAUCCCAGGUACUGUCACCAUGACUGUCACCCACAAUUUUCC
rnacentral:lncRNA from 1 species